GAAACGCGAUAGGUAAUGUGAAUUGCAGAAUUCCGUGAAUCAUCGAAUCUUUGAACGCACAUUGCGCCUUCUGGUAUUCCGGUAGGCAUGCCUGUUUGAGCGUCAGCAAAACCCUCAGCAAAUAUAUUUUUGUUGGUUAUGGGUUGGGAGGAAAUGGGUUCUGCCCGCUCCCACCUUAAACUUGCUGCACGACCGCAAGCUUUAGCGAGGUUUAAUGGAGUGGUAAUACAUAUUCCAGCAGCCCAACUAGAGUGCUACGGCGUUAAAACGUUGUUGCUUUCGCAACUGAAGUUUGACCUCAAAUCAGACAAGGAUACCCGCUGAACUUAA
rnacentral:misc_RNA from 1 species